ACUAUGUGCCAAAUUCAAUAAUUCGAACCUGCGGCAGGUUCGAGUCGAGCAAAGCGAGACAACGGAGUCGCUCGCGGCGACGGCCCGAAGGGCGAGCAAAGCGAGUUAUCCUGCAUCCCACCA
rnacentral:sRNA from 2 species